ensembl:lncRNA
AGUUUACAGGCUCAUCCAAAACUCAACUCCAAUCAAAAGUAUUGUGACAUAAUCACUCCCACUGUUUGGUUUUGGUUUUGGUUCCACCAAUGAGUAUAUAAACACCCCUGAGAUGAUCCGAGAGUCUGUUCUGAAGAAGCAUCAUCAUCUGUGACCUCAGGAAUCCUGUGACGUCAUGGAUUUCUUCAAAGCGGUGGGUGCGGUGGCGUCGGGCGUUGCCGAGGGAACAGUGGGCCUGGUCAGAGCCGUGGUGGACGUCCCAGUGGGGAUGGUGAAAGGAGCCGCAGACAGCAUCAAAGAAGCCAGGAGCAAAAUCAACAUCGCCAGCUCGCCCGGUGAAGGAGUGGACGCUGUUUUCAGUCUACUGACGUCUCCAGUGACCGGCGCGGUGGCCGGAGGCACAAAAGAGAUCGUCAAGGCACCAGGAAAAGUUGUGCAGAGUGUUGCAGAUGGCAUCGAGAAAGUUUUCGAUGACUAAGAAGUAUGAGAGUUGAAAGCUUUGAUCUAAUAAUACUUGAAGACUCAUCAUGCAAAAACUUUUAUUUUAGAAUAACCUGGAAAUUUGACAAAACAUUAUUUGAUGUAUAUGAAAUAGACAAUAUUUUAUACACUCACAGGUAAUAAUGUUUUCACAAUGUCUACAAAUUACAUGAAAUGAUUGUAGGCUAUCAUAAAUUAGCACUGAUUGUUUCACAUUUGUGACAAUUAUGCUAAUUAAACUUCAACAAUGUCAAAAAAUUGUGUCUUGUGUGAAAAUUUCACAAA